AUGGGGUCUCUGAUGGCCGGCUGGGAUUCGCCGGUUCUUGGCGAUGACACCAAAGCUCGUGUGAUGAGGAACCGGUCCCUGACAAAGGAGGAGGUGGAGGCCUUCUGGAGGCAGCGCGGGAAGCCGGCGCGGGAGGACGGCGGCGGUGAGACCCUUGCCGUCGACGUCACCUCCCUGUUCGCCUCCCCUGGUCGACCUAUGGAGAAGAGCCCGCUGGGAAGCUCGCAGAGGAGCAGGUCACCGGCGUCGUCUCCGGUGGCUGCCGGCCACGAGGAGAUCGACGCAGCUGACGCCGCCGACGCCGGCAAGAGCCGGGACUGGUGGACGAGGAGCAACUGGGCCUUCCUCAACGAGCCGCCGCACGAGGAGAGGCCGGGCACGGCGCACAGCUACACGCCGCAGUUCCACGUCGCCGCCCGCAACGCCUGA
rnacentral:rRNA from 1 species